GGGGCUAUGUAAGAUAUUGAUCCAUCGAAGGACACUGCAAGAAACGCUAAUAGUACUUGAAGUGCAGUCCUGAACUCACGGGGAAAAGUUUUGAGUAGAGCUAGUGUUAGGAAUAAUGUUACGAGGAACACAAGAUAGGUUGGAAUAUAGAAGAGAAGAAAAGACGAUUGAUUCAUGACUGAUUUCCCUAGUACCCAUUUGUCAAAUGAUCCUUUGGACUUUGAGGUAUUUUCACCUUGCCAAACACCACCAGGUGGGCUUAGAGUGGCUUGGUAGGUUGCAGUUAGAAGCAGUCCUAAAAUGACUAGCAAGGCAUUGCGGUCAUCGGCUGAUAUAUUGUCCAUAUUUUGAAAUAUUAGCAGUGAUGCUUUUGUCACAUACUUGACAACAUGUUUCUCCAACUUACGUUUAAAGUUUGAAACUACUGGAAUAAAGGAGCCUUGCAGAAUAGCAAUGUUUUCUCUGUUAUUAUGUCGUUGUGCAAUCACCAGUGCGGUCCAACCAACUUGAUUGGUAGCAUGCUUAUCAGCCUUGCAAUCUAAUAGUAGUUUAAGCAUCUGUUCAAUUGAUAGUUUAGGAUAUAAAAAAGGCUAGAAUCAAUUAAUCAUGUCUAUCAAGUAAAAAAUAAUAAUCUAUGUAAUAUUAAUUACUAUCGAAGCAGUUGAGUCGAACCUGGGGUUGAUCAUGGGUAGCGGCUAUGUGAAGUGCAGUGCUGCCAUCUUUGUCUUUCCAGUUCACCACUUCCCAAUAAUAGUCUUUCCUCUUGAGCGUUCGAAUUAGGAGUUGGAGGACGUCCAGUCUAUUGUUUUGGAUUGCAAUAUGCAAAGCAGUGCGAUUCUCAAUCGUAACAUCUUGGAUACAAUCAGGAGAAGCUUCCAGAAAUGUAUCCAACAGACCAAGCUGGUUUCCAACUUUACAUAAGUAGUGCAAUGGAGUCUUACCUUUCUUUCCUCUGACGCGAAUAAGUUGUUUAUCAAUCUCCAAGAAGCGGAGUGCCAUCUCUUUAUGUGAAGUGGGCUCAAACCUUGGUGGUUCAGCUUUCGAGAAAAUGAUGGCUUUAAGUUCAUCAUCUCCAUUGCAAACUCGAUGCACCCUUCUUCUGCAGCUAUAUGUAAUGGAGUGUCAAUAAACUCCACCUCAUCAACACGCCUCAAAACAUUUCCAUUUCUUUGAAUUACUCUAUACAAUUCGUUAACCUUUCCAGUACGAGCGGCCUUUCUUAAAUUUUCAUCCAUGUGAGGAAGACUAAAAAUUGAAAGGUUGAAAGGGUUUAAGGUCACUUAAAACAAUUUAUUCAAAGAGAAAGAGGGUUUUUUUUUUUAAUAGAAAGAGUGAAUUAAAGGCAGACAAAUGCGUGUAUAUUUAUGGUCUUGAUUUUUGAGUUUUCGCCAUUAGUAGAGGAUUAUAUACUCAACACUCUGUAGUUUGUUCAUAUUAUAGUUUUAAUAUUUUGGGCUAAAGAACAUUGUGCUCUGUGAAAUGAAGUAGGUCUUUCACAUGUUCAUACUCGAAAGUUUAAAAUAGGAAACAUUUAUCAAGAAUUUUCUGCAGCUUUGUUUAUAAAGAAAGCAGAAAAAGGAAUCUUUCAAGUCCGCCUGCUUAUUAUUUUAAAGAAAGUUACAUUUGUCCAAAUUUUAAUUGAUCUUCUUGCCAUUGGCUAAGCAGCCUCUCAUAUUAUUAUUUAUGUAUUUAGGUUAGUUUAAAAUUUUUAAAAUUUUAUAUUACUGAAGGUAAAAUUGUACUUGCUUUCUUAAAAAUAAUAAAAAUUUAAUUUAAUCCUUCAAAAUUUAUAAAUAUAUAAACAAUUAAAAUGAUAAAAUUAUAUUUUUAUUAUCGUAAAAAUUAUAAUUUAAUUUCGAUUUCCCUUAAAAAAAUUUAAAUUUGCUUACUUCACUCCUACAUGUUAACACAGAUCAUUACUCAACAAUUUUGGUCCUAUUAUAGCAUUUCUUUAGGCUCAAUCUCCGAAAAGUUCUCACACUUAAAAAAAAAAAAAAACUAAUUCCUCUCUUUUUUUUAUGCAAUUAAGGUUUUUAAAUUAAAAAUUCUAUCAAAUAAGUUUUUUAAUUCAUAAAAUAUGAUGGUUAAAGGUUGGCGAGUCAACCAUUUUGUACAUAUAUCAUAUCACAUGGCCACUCUCGUGAUACUAUUUUAUUUUAUAUAUCAUAUUAUAAUGGUAUUUUUGGAUCACUAUACGAAUGCUAGAAAAAAAAUCAUGAAAAUAUCAAUUAAAAAAAAACAAUUCUAUUAAAAAAAAUGAGAGUACACAUUAAUCUUUUUAAUUAGGUAUUGAUUAAACAAUUAUUAAAUAACAUUUUAUAAAAAAAUUUAAAAUACAUUUAAAUUAAUUAUAAUUUAUUUACACAAAAAAAAAAAACUAUAAUUCAUGGAGUCUACAAUAAAGAAUGAUCAGUUAGUAUAGGAAAGGUUAUAGCAAUGGAUGUUUAAUCUUAUUGGUGCUGUGAUCUAAGCCAACAAAGGAGAAAAGACAGAAAUUAAGUUGUUUAUGUAUUAUAACAAAGUAUCUGUAUUAGGCCCUGUAGUAUAUAUGAUAUAUAUACAAAAAGAAAUGGUAUACUUUACCGUGAAAUAUACAUGGGUGAGGUUUUAAUCCAUUUGUAGAUCUAAUCAAAUUGCAAGCGAAAUAAAUCUAAAGAAUAACAACAAUAUUAGAAUAAAAUAAAUGAGAUGUACAUUUACAUAUUACAAACGGGUGUUACAAAAAUAAGUGCACCGUAUUACGCAUGAUAGACCUAGACUAAGGAAUAGCCAGCAUCCUAUUAACGUAACAAUGUCUAGAAAGUUAUAGAGGUCAAUUCCAGCACCAAAAAAAGCAUUAACCCGUAGAAAUAAACAAUAGCAUACAACUAAAAUAGUCCCUUUCCAGAAUUCAUCAUAUAAAAUAAGGAAUAACAACGAUCCUUGACCUACAUUUACACCUAUUUUACUUCCUAAACAUAAAUAUAAAAUUGAAGGGAAUAUCCAACAGCCUACUAUUGAAACACUAAUUUUUGACACCCGAUAUAGGAUACACAUGUAGACCAUUAAAAGGAAAAGAAUUCCUGAAAAUAUAUUAAGAAUUGUGUAUGUUAAAGUGGUGGGUGCUAAGUCAGAUAUUGAUUGAUCGAAGGAAACUGCAAGAAACGCUAAUAAUACUUGAAGUGCACCCCUAAAAUCACGGGGAAAAGUUUUGAAUAGAGCUAGUGUUAGGAAUAAUGUUACGAGGAACACAAGAUAGGUUGGAAUAUAGAAGAGAAGAAAAUUCAAUGGAUCCAUGACUGAUUUCCCUUGUACCAUUGCAUCAU
rnacentral:lncRNA from 1 species